rnacentral:rRNA from 1 species
UUGAACGCUGGCGGCAUGCUUUACACAUGCAAGUCGAACGGCAGCGGGGGCUUCGGCCUGCCGGCGAGUGGCGAACGGGUGAGUAAUGCAUCGGAACGUACCCCGUCGUGGGGGAUAACUACGCGAAAGCGUGGCUAAUACCGCCUACGCCCUGAGGGGGAAAGCGGGGGACCUUCGGGCCUCGCGCGAUUGGAGCGGCUGAUGUCGGAUUAGCUGGUUGGUGGGGUAAAGGCCUACCAAGGCGACGAUCCGUAGCUGGGCUGAGAGGAUGAGCAGCCACACUGGGACGGAGACACGGCCCAGACUCCUACGGGAGGCAGCAGUGGGGAAUUUUGGACAAUGGGCGCAAGCCUGAUCCAGCCAUGCCGCGUGAGUGAAGAAGGCCUUCGGGUUGUAAAGCUCUUUCAGAGGGAAAGAAUACUCCUGGUAACCCCAGUAGUUGACGGUACCCUUGAAGGAAGCACUGGCUAACUCCGU